CCAAUUUAUCAUUUAUUUGAUUACAUGCAUGUUAAAGCCCAAGACAUCAAUAAAUUUACAAAUUAUAACAUGUGAUUUAUUCCAAGACUAAUAUAUGCACUUGUACCUUUUUUUGAAGGCAUUCUCAAAAAUGCAAGUCACAUUUUUCAUGGUGACUUUUUCUCAUAUCAUUAGCCCCACUAUUUUGAUACUUUAAGAAAAUAAAAUUUCAUGAAACGUAUCAUUUUAUUCAUGUCAUUUUAUUCAUGAAAAAUAUUUGGUAACUUUUUACCUUACCUCCACAACAAGUAGAAAAGUUUUUACCUUUAUUGUGCUUGAGUUGAGGAGUAGAAAGAUACUUUACGUGGCUAUUUGAGAUCUCUCAUCUUAAUAUCCGUAAUUUUUUCAAACUGUAACAAAACAUGGAUCUCCUUAAAAUUAUUGGUGUAAUAUACUACAAUUACAAUAAAUGAUUAUAGUUGAAAUAAAAUUAACAAAAAUGAAGAAAUUAAAAUAAUUUUCUUUUUGGCUGAGGCGUGCAUAUCUCGCUUUCUUUAAGGAGAUUUAAGUCCACUGCGGCAUAAUCUACACCCAUCCAGCAGUAUAUCUCAUGACUUGUCCCCUAUAGGAUACAAUAGCCCAUCAACGAUGUAUAACUCAAGCAACUCCAGAUCAGUUGAAGAGUCCAAAGCUCCACCAUAAGAACGCCUUCCUUCAAUAUAUAUUUACUCUCUUUGUAUAAUGAAUAUAGUUAAUGACUUAAAAUAUUUUCUUUGUCUCAACUCUUUCUUUCACUAAUAUAAUUACUCUCUUUUGUAUAGUGAAUAUAGUUGUAGACUUAAAAUAUUUAUUUUGUCUCAACUCUCUUUUUCACUUCACAUCUUUUUCUUCUACACAUCAUUGGAAGAAACACAACUAUUUAUAGGUGAUGAA
rnacentral:lncRNA from 1 species